ACAUAUUCAUGUUAGGAUUUCAAAUCACUUCUAACUAAUGUUCAGUCUAAUACAAAUUUCAAAUCCAAAAAUUCAUACAGUCUUAAUUCUAAAGUGUACUAGAAAUCUACAGCCACAUGCUAAGCUAAUAGGAAAAUUAAGAGGCAAAUUCAUGUUAUAACAGUGCUUCAUCCUUUGAUUUCAUAGUCGUUCAAGUACAAUGAAUGAAGCUUCAAAGCAUUAAAGACGAUGAAUGUACCUGGAAUUGGCAUAGUGAAAAGGAAAAUAAGAUCAGCAAAUCACAGCCACUAUAUCAACGAGAGAGCACAGCUCACACACAACCCAUUCUCAGUUUAAAUCAUAACAGAAUCACCAGAAAUGAUAACUGAGUGAAAGUAACAAUAUACCAACUAAAACCACCUGGAUUUCCUACCAAACUUGUGUAAAAUCAAAGCCAGUGACCCUACGGAGCUUCAACAAACAGUCAUCGAUCCAGAAACCAUUGAAUUAACCAAAUGCAAUUUAAAACGACCAACACAACUCAAAUAAACCCAAAACUAACUCGAAUCUAAAUCUGGACACCUCUGAAGCUUCCAGCUAACAUAUAUGUCAAUUAUAACCAGCUUAAACAGAUCCAAAAACUACAGGAAACCAAACUAACAACUCUCUGAAAUUUCAAAACCCCAACGUUGAAUAAAAAACUGAAAAAUCAGCAACUAGAAUAGAAAUUAGCUUGAGUUCUCUAAUAGAACAGUAGUUUUUUGGGGUUUUUUAUUAGAUUUUCCCCUGUUCUUUUUUUUUUUUUGAAGUUUUUCUAUUGUUUUUGGUUUUUCCUUUUGAAGAAUGCUAAUAUCUAAAAGGAUUUGAAUCUGAAAUUUUCAUUCUCAGAUCUGUGUAGUUUUAAGAGUAUUUGGGGGGAGGGGGGGGGGGUUUAGG
rnacentral:lncRNA from 1 species